CCUCGCCGAUUUUUAUUCCCGUGCAACCGGUGAAAGAAAAAAAAAAUCCUCCCCAGCGCUCACACCCCACCCCCAUUACCCUCCUGGCAGCGAUGCCGCCCCCGUUCCCCUCGGACGCCAUGGCGGCCGCAGCCCUCCCGAUCCUCCUCUGCACGCAUCGUCGCCUGCAACACCGCUAACCACGGUCUCCACUGGCGUCGUGAUGGUAGCGACCUCCACUCAGAGCCGUCCGCCGUUGGGCCCUUAUACCCCCUCCCGAAGGGAUCCGGCCUCCACCACUGCGUGCGACGGGAUCCACCACGGACAAGGGAACGGCCGCGCUUGGGCGUCGGGAUGUGGUCGUCGCGUGGCGUGGCAUGAUCUAGGCUCUGGAGUUGGUCGAUGACCUGGAGUUCGCCAUUGUACCGCCCAGAGGCCUCCACCAACAACAAGGACAACGCCAGAAACUGAUUUUCAUAAUACCGAGGGAAAUAUUGCGUUGGAACGAUCCCGGGUCGGCGGGGGCGGCCAGACCAGGUGGCAAAUGCGGUGCACAAGUUGAGGAGCGAAGGUAAAGAGGAGAGGCCACGACAACCCGAGCAGCGGCGAGGGGAUGGAGCAGCAGCUGCGCAGCUGCGUCGACCCGAGCAGUUGCGAGAGCGAAUGAAGCUGCGGUUGCACGGACAAGCUUAUGGAGGUGUCAGUAUGCACGCACACGUCCCUGAUUUGGAGCACGCCUCUGGCCUGGUAGGAUUCUCGCUCUGCCUCGACCUCAAGGGCGUUCGUCUAUCUGUGUCAUGCUCGGGACGAUGCACUAAUGCAGGGUGUGGUUCUUCAGAUUUUCUUUGUCUUUUUCUUGGUAUGUAUAUCUCUGAAUCUUGUGAGCCGUGAUUUUCAUGCUGCCCAUUGUGUCAUGUAUAAUGAUUCUUCUUAUUAUUUUUGAAUGGCAUAAUUAUUCUUA